UACGAAGGGUGCAAACGUUGUCCGGAUUUAUUGGGUUUAAAGGGUGCGUAGGCGGUCCAUUAAGUCAGUUGUGAAAUACGGCAGCUUAACUGUCGAGGUGCAAUUGAUACUGGAGGACUUGAGUACAGACGAGGUAGGCGGAAUUGACGGUGUAGCGGUGAAAUGCAUAGAUAUCGGCAAGAACACCGAUAGCGAAGGCAGCUUACUAGACUGUAACUGACGCUGAGGCGCGAAAGUGUGGGGAUCAAACAGG
rnacentral:rRNA from 1 species